rnacentral:rRNA from 1 species
AGGGGGGUUUGAUCCUGGCUCAGGACGAACGCUGGCGGCGUACUUAACACAUGCAAGUCGGACGAGAAAGGGCACUUCGGUGUCUGAGUAAAGUGGCGAACGGGUGCGUAACACGUGAGUAAUCUACCCUGGACCCUGGGAUAACUUCUCGAAAGGGGGGCUAAAACCAGAUAGUACCUCGAGGCUCAAGUCACGGGGGGAAAAGCGGGCCUCUGAUUUAAGCUCGUGGUCCUGGAUGAGCUUGCGUCCCAUUAGCUAGUUGGUGGGGUAAAAGCCUACCAAGGCAACGAUGGGUAGCUGGUCUGAGAGGAUGAUCAGCCACACUGGCACUGAGACACGGGCCAGACUCCUACGGGAGGCAGCAGUGGGGAAUUUUGCGCAAUGGGCGAAAGCCUGACGCAGUAACGCCGCGUGGAGGAUGAAGGCUCUUGGGUCGUAAACUCCUGUCAGGGGGAAAGACGGGCGUGGGGUUAAUACCUCCACUACCCAGACGGUACCUCCAAAGGAAGCCCCGGCUAAUUCCGUGCCAGCAGCCGCGGUAAUACGGAAGGGGCAAGCGUUGUUCGGAAUUAUUGGGCGUAAAGGGCGCGUAGGCGGUCUCGCAUGUCUGCUGUGAAAGCACACGGCUUAACCGUGGAGAGUCGGUGGAAACUGCGAGACUUGAGGCUGGGAGGGGCUGGUGGAAUUCCCUGUGUAGCGGUGAAAUGCGUUAGAUAUGGGGGAGAACACUCGUGGCGAAGGCGGCCAGCUGGACCAGUUCUGACGCUGAGGCGCGAC